AACGCACCUUGCGCCCUCUGGUAUUCCGGAGGGCAUGCCUGUUUGAGUGUCAUUAUAUUCUCAACUUCAAUAAUUUAUUGUUGAAGCUUGGAUGUGGAGGCUUUUGCUGGCAUCUCAGAGGUCCGGCUCCUCUUAAAUGCAUUAGUGGAACCCGUUCAGUUGGGCUAUCCUUGGUUGUGAUAAUUAUCUACGCUUUGGAUUAGUCUCUAACAAACUCUUAGUGGUCAAUGUACUUUUGUACGUUGGUUUGGGGUAUUGCAUUCAUUUGCUUCGCCUGGUUCACUAUAGAGUGAAAGGGAAAGUGACCGCUUUCGAACUGUCUGUGUAUUGCGGACGAUUUUAUUGACUAUUUGACCUCAAAUCAGGUAGGACUACCCGCUGAACUUAA
rnacentral:misc_RNA from 1 species